rnacentral:rRNA from 1 species
CGUAGGUCCCGAGCGUUGUCCGGAUUUAUUGGGCGUAAAGCGAGCGCAGGCGGUUUGAUAAGUUCUGAAGUUAAAGGCUGUGGCUCAACCAUAGUUCGCUUUGGAAACUGUCAAACUUGAGUGCAGAAGGGGAGAGUGGAAUUCCAUGUGUAGCGGUGAAAUGCGUAGAUAUAUGGAGGAACACCGGUGGCGAAAGCGGCUCUCUGGUCUGUAACUGACGCUGAGGCUCGAAAGCGUGGGGAGCGA